rnacentral:lncRNA from 1 species
CUGAACUGUCCUCCCAACAAAAUCCUGCUCACCCUUUAAAACAUACCUCUGACAGCUCCUUCUCUGGGCAAGUCGCAUGAGCCUCUCCUCUCAAGGUGUGGCUCUGUGCUUCAUGAUUUACAUGCACCGUCAUUAAGUCCUACUACAGCUUAUUGUCUCACCAGGAAUUUAAGAGUAAUUCCCAAAUUGCUUCUGGGCCUUGACUUUCUGUCAUCUAUUCAAAUGUCAAAACCUUUUCCUGGAAGAAUGUGCUACACCUGCUGCAGGAGAAAGGCAAUUAGUAAAUGUAGAAGAAGAAAUGGAAUUUGAAAAUCACUAUUUGGCCACCAUCAUGGUAAUAAUUGCUUGAGUCAAGAAUCAUCAGUGGAUCAUUCUAAUGGGUGGAAGUUUAACCACUAACAGGAUAUUUCAUGGUCUCAAAGCCUCUUCCCACAAGAUGUUUAUAAUAAAAAAUAAAAAGCAGAAACUUCAGAGCAAAGAAGUCUGACAGACACUGCCAAAAUCAGUCAAGCCAAUAUCAUGUGUUUCCUAAUACAAUGCACUAAGAGAGGCACAAUAUCACUUCUGCAGCAUCCUUGCCAAAAACACCUAAUGAUAGUUUUAUUAUGAUGAAACAAUGAACCACUUUCAAACUGAGGACAUUUUAUGAAAUAAUUUGUCAGAACUCUCAAAAAUUAUCAAAUAAAUGAAAUAUAAAAAGAGCUGUUAAGGACUUGGAGGACUGUUAGAUUAUAGAAAAGUAAAAAGUCUUUACAGCUAAAUGCAACAAAUAAAGAUGCAAUAUUUUUAUAAAAAACA